rnacentral:rRNA from 1 species
AUUGAACGCUGGCGGCAGGCCUAACACAUGCAAGUCGAGCGAGCGGCGGACGGGUGAGUAAUGUAUGGGAAUCUGCCUGAUGGAGGGGGAUAACUACUGGAAACGGUAGCUAAUACCGCAUACCAUCAGAUGAGCCCAGAUGGGAUUAGCUUGUAGGUGGGGUAACGGCUCACCUAGGCGACGAUCCCUAGCUGGUCUGAGAGGAUGAUCAGCCACACUGGGACUGAGACACGGUCCAGACUCCUACGGGAGGCAGCAGUGGGGAAUAUUGCACAAUGGGCGCAAGCCUGAUGCAGCCAUGCCGCGUGUAUGAAGAAGGCCUUCGGGUUGUAAAGUACUUUCAGCGGGGAGGCGUUACCCACAGAAGAAGCACCGGCUAACUCCGUGCCAGCCGCCGCGGUAAUAC